CAGCAGGGUGACACACCAGCACCACGGUUAUUGGAUUCAGGAGUUUGCCAAGAAGCAGCAAUUAAAUGAUUAGCUUCCACCUUUAAUUUUGCUGGCAGGUAGUCUGUCGACGGCUUCUUUUUUCCAGUUAUGGCAAUGUAGCUAUUCUUAUCAAUUCCUCCCCUUUCUGCUAUUGCCUGAUUGUGCAGGUGUUAUCCCAGGCUUCAUGGACAACUCCGUCGCCUUGAGGAAAUGAGCCUCCUCCAUCCCUCCAUAUGUAUUUCCUCCUCUGCUCUGUACUGCUUUGCUCUGCCUCAUGCUUGCUGUCAUGUGGAUGUGCUGCUGCUGACCAAUACUAGCUUAUUGCAGUUUUCCUUUUUUGUUCAGGCCAUUGCAUUGCCUCUGAAUCUUACUUUUUUUGCGGGGCCUCUGAAUCUUACUUACUUUUCAGUGCUAUAUACAGAUUCAGUUACAGGACACAUAGUUCCUGGAGAUGAAACAAGGUGUUUAGUGCGUAUUACAUUUACCAUUUAGGAUUUACAUAGCAUCAUUCACACCUGAUUAGCAUAAGUUCCAGAUAAUAUUUUAUUAUCCCCUUUGAUGUUUAAGAUGGUUGCCUCUUCAGUAUCACAUCUGGAUCCAUAGCAAUUUCAUUUCUAUCGCUUUACUUCUCCGUGCAGGGAAAAUAGACUGCACCAAGCAUCAGUUAACGUACAUUCAGCAUAAGAGAGUUAAGCCCACUACCUAGCCGGCUCUUUGUUGCCAACUUAUUGUGACUACUUUCGAUUUUGGUGCAGUAGUUUUGGUUAGUGACUAUUAUAUCAUUUUUUCUUAAAAUAAGGUCCCACAUUAUGGCUAGGUGUUGCCGCGAGGGUUGUGAAUGUUCUUUACUUCUGAUAAAAGUGAAGUGAUAUUUGUGUAGGUGAUGACAAAAGCUACAAUUAUUCAGGGCUGUCAUUCUCUCCUGCAGGUGAUCUAUUAUGCAAUUUACUGUUUGCUGUAAUUUUACAGUGUCACUGCUCCCACUCUGCUUUUGAAAGCAAUAUGUCAAUAAUGGAUUACAUAAGGAAAGCUUUAUUGCAUCUGUCAGCUAACAUUUCUUACGGUGUUAGGGCCCUUUUGAUUCAUAGGAGUGGCAAAGAAUUUUAUAGGAUUCAAAUUCCAACGGAUUUUUCUUCCUAUGUUUCCCUUUGGCUUAUAGGACUAUGUUCCUAUGCUUCACUUUCAUGGGAAAAAUACCAAGAGGUAUAACCUCUUUGUAAAUUUUCCUUUGUUUUUCCUAUGGCACUACCAAAGGGCUCCUAUUAUCUUUUCCUGUGUUUUUAUUCCUGUAGAAUUAAAGAAGCACACCACUUUUAUUCCUGGGUUUUUCCUAUUCGUGUGCUUUGCCUAUCCUGUGAAUCAAAGGGGCUUUAAGAUGCUAUGCCGCUAUGCAUAAGCCACCCUUACUUGUGUCAUGACCUACUACUUCCUACUAGCAGUACAUUUUUGGUAUCCAUAUGGAUCUUUUCUUCAUGAUGGUUGUCUCUACUUAAAGCUAUGCAUUAUUCAUACAUGAAUAUUAAGUGAAAAACAAGCCACUCCCAACUUAACUUUUGUUUGAUGGAUAUGCUAGAUAGAAACCUAGGUGUAUGUUCUUGGUCUCUUAGGUCGUUGUGUCACACAAUGUUGUUUGUUGAUGAGCUCCCUAUAUAUAUUGUUAGGUCAAUUAUGUUGCCCAACAAGUUUUUUGUGCUAAUGUGAGGUUACUAGGCUCACAGUCCUUUAGAUAUAUGGAUUUGGUUUUGUUAUGGUGACAGUUCGGUUUUGGAUGAUUGGAUUGUUUUAUUUUUUCAUAAGCCCAGCAAUAUGAUAUAAAAUAAUGUUAUUGAAUAUGUGAAGAUUAGUGGCCAUACAGAAACGCAUGCCAAAACGACAUAUUUUCCAAAACUGAAUUGUCUUCCUAUGAGUUACAUCCAAUUUCUGAUCCAUAUGUAUCGUUGCUAAACAGUACUCCCUCUGUCCCAUAAUAUAAGGGAUUUUGAGUUUUUGUUUGUAACGUUUGACUACUCGUCUUAUUCAAAAAUUUUUGAAAUUAUUAUUUAUUUUAUUUGUGACUUACUUUAUUAUCUACAGUACUUUAAGCACAACUUUUCGUUUUUUAUAUUUGCAAAAAAAAUUUGAAUAAGACGAGUGGUCAAACGUUACAAUCAAAAACUCAAAAUCUCUUAUAUUGUGGGACGGAGGGAGUACUAUGUAUGGUGGUUUAAUUUUAAUGGUUGCAAAUCUUGGUUUCCCUGUAAGUAGCUAGCUAGCAUGAUUUUUUUUGUCAGGCAUAGUUUACUCUUUUAACGGGCAACUUGUUUAUAAACAAACAGCUCACGGGAUGUUGGUCUUAUGUCAUUCUAGAGCACUUUUCAGAGUUUAAUAUGACACAAAGGCUUUCCAAACGAUGGCGAUGCCUACGGAUAAUCAUUUUCCUGCUGCUCUUACAUAUUUCUAUAUAUUAUAUAUUCUUUUAUUUACUUAUUUAUUUUGACUGAUAAGAGCUGGAGACUGCGCUAUAUUUCAUAAUAUAUAUUCUUCUUUUAUGUUUGAUCCAUUUAGUUUGGUGCUCCCACUCUUCAGUCGGUGCUGCUUUAUAACGAAACUAUUAUGUGCAUUAUAUCGUCCGACAUAAGUAUAACCAUUUCAUGUUUGCAGGACCAAAGCUGCCAUUCAUACUGCUGUGCUUUUGUUGUGGAUUGAACUAGCAGGAGAGAAGAAUGCACAUGAACUUAUAAAUGGACCAUUUCCGGUAGCCACGAGUUCUCACUAGAAAAAGGCAGCUACUUUAUUUGUCCUGUAUAUUAGUAUAUUGUUUAUUAAUCAAUGUAAAUGAUCACUGACGGAGUACAUGUAUAUGCAUUAAUCACCUAAUCGUUCUGUAAUAUUUUCUGUUUAAUUUUUUUUGCUGCGCGGCGUAGCGCGCAAACCCUUUCUAGUAAUAGUAAUGUUAACUUUGAUUACUGGAUAUAUGUGGCAUUGAUGAAAGGUGGAGAUAUGGGAUCAUGAUCUAAAAAUUGAAAUAUGAGAAUGACCAGUAAUUUGGAACUUUGGAACUGAUGAA
rnacentral:lncRNA from 1 species